UACACAUACAAUAGGAAUUCUCUAUAAUUCCCAAGGACAGGCCGUAAUUGAAAGAACUAAUAGAACACUCAAAGCUCAAUUAGUUAAACAAAAAAAAGGAAAAGACAGUAAGGAGUAUAACACUCCCCAGGUGCAACUUAAUCUAGCACUCUAUACUUUAAAUGUUUUAAACAUUUAUAGAAAUCAGACCACUAGCUCUGCAGAACAACAUCUUACUGGUAAAAGGAACAGCCCACAUGAAGGAAAACGGAUUUGGUGGAAAGAUAAUAAAAAUAAAACAUGGGAAAUGGGGAAGGUGAUAACAUGGGGGAGAGGUUUUGCUUGUGUUUCACCAGGAGAAAAUCAGCUUCCUGUUUGGAUACCCACUAGACAUUUAAAGUUCUACAAUGAACUCACUGGAGAUGCAAAGAAAAGUGUGGAGAUGGAGACACCCCAAUCGACUCGCCAGGUAAACAAAAUGGUGAUAUCAGAAGAACAGAAAAAGUUGCCUUCCAUCAAGGAAGCAGAGUUGCCAAUAUGGGCACAAUUAAAGAAGCUGACACAGUUAGCUAAAAAAAAAAAACCUAGAGAAUACAAAGGUGACACCAACUCCAGAGAAUAUGCUGCUUGCAGCUUUGAUGAUUGUAUCAACGGUGGUAAGUCUUCCCAAGUCUGCAGGAGCAGCUGCAGCUAAUUAUACUUACUGGGCCUAUGUGCCUUUCCCACCCUUAAUUCGGGCAGUUACAUAGAUGGAUAAUCCUAUUGAAGUAGAUGUUAAUAAUAGUGCAUGGGUGCCUGGCCCCACAGAUGACUGUUGCCCUGCCCAACCUGAAGAAGGAAUGAUGAUGAAUAUUUCCAUUGGGUAUCCUUAUCCUCAUUUGCCUAGGGAAGGCACCAGGAUGCUUAAUGCCUACAACCCAAAAUUGGUUGGUAGAAGUACCUACAGUCAGUGCUACCAGUAGAUUUACUUAUCACAUGGUAAGUGGAAUGUCACAGAUAAAUAAUUUACAGGACCCUUCUUAUCAAAGAUCAUUACAAUCUAGGCCUAAGGGGAAGGCUUGCCCCAAGGAAAUUCCCAAAGAAUCAAAAAGCCCAGAAGUCUUAGUUUGUGGAGAAUGUGUGGCUGAUACUGCGGUGUAGUACAAAACAAUGAAUUUUGAACUAUGAUAGACUGGGCCCCUUGAGGCCAAUUAUAUCAUAACUGUACAGGCCAGACUCAUUCAUGUCCACAGGCCCCAUCCAUCUGGCCCAUUAAUCCAGCCUAUGACGGUGAUUUAACUGAAAGGCUGGACCAGGUUUAUAGAAGGUUAGAAUCACUCUGUCCAAGGAAAUGGGGUGAAAAGGGAAUUUCAUCACCUUGACCAAAGUUAGUCCUGUUACUGGUCCUGAACAUCCAGAAUUAGGAAGCUUACUGUGGCCUCACACCACAUUAGAAUUUGUUCUGGAAAUCAAGCUAUAGGAACAAGAGAUCGUAAGUCAUAUUAUACUAUCAACCUAAAUUCCAGUCUGACAAUUCCUUUGCAAAAUUGUGUAAAACCCCCUUAUAUUGCUAGUUGUAGGAAAAACAUAGUUAUUAAACCUGAUUCCCAAACUAUAAUCUGUGAAAAUUGUGGAAUGUUUACUUGCAUUGAUUUGACUUUUAAUUGGCAGCACUGUAUUCUACUAGUAAGAGCAAGAGAGGGUGUGUGGAUCCUUGUGUCCAUGGACCGACCAUGGGAGGCUUCACUAUCCAUCCAUAUUUUAAUGGAAGUAUUAAAAGGAAUUCUAACUAGAUCCAAAAGAUUCAUUUUUACUUUGAUGGCAGUGAUUAUGGGCCUUAUUGCAGUCACAGCUACUGCUGCGGCUGCUGGAAUUGCUUUACACUCCUCUGUUCAAACUGCAGAAUACGUAAAUGAUUGGCAAAAGAAUUCCUCAAAAUUGUGGAAUUCUCAGAUCCAAAUAGAUCAAAAAUUGGCAAACCAAAUUAAUGAUCUUAGACAAACUGUCAUUUGGAUGGGAGAGGCUCAUGAGCUUGGAAUAUCUAUUUCAGUUACAAUGUGACUGGAAUACAUCAGAUUUUUGUGUUACACCACAAGCCUAUAAUGAGUCUGAGCAUCACUGGGACAUGGUUAGAUGCCAUCUACAAGGAAGAGAAGAUAAUCUUACUUUAGACAUUUCAAAAUUAAAAGAAUUUUUUUUUCUUUGAGACAGAGUCUCGCUCUGUCGCCCAGGCUGGAGUGCAGUGGCGUGAUCUCAGCUCACUGCAAGUUCUGCCUCCUGGGUUCACACCAUUCUCCUGCCUCAGCCUCCCAAGUAGCUGGGACUACAGGAGCCCACCACCAUGCCUGGCUAAUUUUUUUUUGGGUUUUUAAUAGAGAUGGAGUUUCACCAUGUUAGCCAGGAUGGUCUCGAUCUCCUGACCUUGUGAUCUGCCCACCUUGGCUUCCCAAAGUGCUGGGAUUACAGUCGUGAGCCACCGUGCCCAGCCAAGAAAAAAUUUUUGAGGCAUCAAAAGCCCAUUUAAAUUUGGUGCCAGGAACGGAGACAAUCGUGAAAGCUGCUGAUAGCCUCACAGAUCUUAAGCCAGUCACUUGGGUUAAAACCAUCAGAAGUUUCACUAUUGUAAAUUUCAUAUUAAUCCUUGUAUGCCUGUUCUGUCUGUUGUUAGUCUACCGGUGUAUCCAGCAGCUCCAAAGAGACAGCAACCAGCAAGAAUGGGCCAUAAUGACGAUGGUGGUUUUGUCAAAAAGAAAAGGGGGGGAUAUGUAAGGAAAAGAGAGAUCAGACUGUCACUGUGUCUAUGUAGAAAAGGAAGACAUAAGAAACUCCAUUUUGAUCUGUACUAAGAAAAAUUGUUUUGCCUUGAGAUGCUGUUAAUCUGUAACUUUAGCCCCAACCCUGUGCUGUAAGGUUUAAGGGAUCUAGGGCUGUGCAGGAUGUACCUUGUUAACAAUAUGUUUGCAGGCAGUAUGCUUGGUAAAAGUCAUUGCCAUUCUCCAUUCUCGAUUAACCAGGGGCUCAAUGCACUGUGGAGAGCCACAGGAAACUCUGCCCAAGAAAGCCUGGCUGUUGUGGGAAGUGAGGGACCCUGAACGGAGGGACCAGCUGGUCCUGCAUCAGGAAACAUAAAUUGUGAAGAUUUCUUGGACAUUUAUCAGUUUCCAAAAUUAAUACUUUUAUAAUUUCUUACACCUGUCUUACUUUAAUCUCUUAAUCCUGUUAUCUUUGUAAGCUGAGGAUAUACGUCACCUCAGGACCACUAUUGGACAAAUUGAUUGUAAAACAUGUUCACAUGUGUUUGAACAAUAUGAAAUCAGUGCACCUUGAAAAUGAACAGAAUAACAGUGAUUUUAGGGAACAAGGGAAGACAACCAUAAGGUCUGACUGCCUGAGGGGUUGGGCAAAAAGCCAUAUUUUUCUUCUUGCAGAGAGCCUAUAAAUGGACGUGCAAGUAGGAGAGAUACUGCUAAAUUCUUUUCCUAGCAAGGAAUAUAAUAUUAAGACCCUAGGGAAAGAAUUGCAUUCUUGGGGGGAGGUCUAUAAACGGCCGCUCUGGGAGUGUCUGUCCUAUGUGGUUGAGAUAAGGACUGAAAUACGCCCUGGUCUCCUGCAGUACCCUCAGGCUUACUAGGAUUGGGAAACCCCAGUCCUGGUAAAUUUGAGGUCAGGCCGGUUCUUUGCUCUGAACCCUGUUUUCUGUUAAGAUGUUUAUCAAGACAAUACAUGCACCGCUGAACAUAGACCCUUAUCAGGAGUUUCUGAUUUUGCUCUGGUCCUGUUUCCUCAGAAGCAUGUCAUCUUUGCUCUGCCUUUUGCCCUUUGAAGCAUGUGAUCUUUGUGACCUACUCCCUGUUCAUACACCCCUCCCCUUUUAAAAUCCCUAAUAAAAACUUGCUGGUUUUGUGGCUCAGGGGGGCAUCAUGGACCUACCAAUAUGUGAUGUCACCCCCGGUGGCCCGGCUGU
rnacentral:lncRNA from 1 species